GAUCCUGGCUCAGGACGAACGCUGGCGGCGUGCCUAACACAUGCAAGUCGAACGAAGCUUGACGAAUGAUUUCUUCGGAAUGAAAUCUGAUAUGACUGAGUGGCGGACGGGUGAGUAACGCGUGAGCAACCUGCCCUGACGGGAGAGUGUCUGAACGGACGAGUAAUACCGUAUAACGUAUUUUACUUACACUNAUAGAAUAAC
rnacentral:rRNA from 1 species